UACGGAAGGCAGCAGUGGGGAAUAUUGCACAAUGGGCGCAAGCCUGAUGCAGCCAUGCCGCGUGUAUGAAGAAGGCCUUCGGGUUGUAAAGUACUUUUCAGCGGGGAGGAAGGCGGUGAAGUUAAUAGCUUCACCGAUUGACGUUACCCGCAGAAGAAGCACCGGCUAACUCCGUGCCAGCAGCCGCGGUAAUACGGAGGGUGCAAGCGUUAAUCGGAAUUACUGGGCGUAAAGCGCACGCAGGCGGUCUGUCAAGUCGGAUGUGAAAUCCCCGGGCUUAACCUGGGAACUGCAUUCGAAACUGGCAGGCUAGAGUCUUGUAGAGGGGGUAGAAUUCCAGGUGUAGCGGUGAAAUGCGUAGAGAUCUGGAGGAAUACCGGUGGCGAAGGCGGCCCCUGGGACAAAGACUGACGCUCAGGUGCGAAAGCGUGGGGAGCAAACAGGAUUAGGAUACC
rnacentral:rRNA from 1 species